AAUAUGACUCUCGGCAACGGAUAUCUCGGCUCUCGCAUCGAUGAGAACGUAGCGAAAUGCGAUACGUGGUGUGAAUUGCAGAAUCCCGUGAACCAUCGAGUCUUUGAACGCAAGUUGCGCCCAAGGGACCCUCCCGAGGGCACGCCUGCCUCACGGGCGUUAGAA
rnacentral:rRNA from 1 species